CCCUCAUACACACUGCACAUUACUGUGAGUUCCAUUGCAUACACACACUGUAUUAUAUAAUACAUUAUAUUGAUGUAUUGCAUGGUGUGUCAUAUAACACAGACUGUAAAUUAUCUGGGUGAAUCACUGUGUGUCUGCUGGUUUCUCCAGGUUCCUGUCUGCUUCGAUGAGGUAGCUGUCUAUUUCUCAGAGGAAGAAUGGAAAUAUCUGAAGGAAUGGCAGAGAGACUUGUACAAGGAGGUCAUGCAGGAGAAUCUGGAGGCUGUCCUGUCACUGAGUGAGACCCUUUCUAAAGUACCGGGUACAUUGUAAUUGGGAGGAGGGUGAACCCACAUUCAGAAAGUGGAGGUUGUCCUGUUAUUGCUUAAGGCAUGACUUCAGAAGCGGACGUUAUGUUAUUGUUGGAUGAGACAUCAUUUCGAAAGAGUCCAUUAUCAUUUAAUUGGGAUAGUAACAAUCUAGAAAGACACUGUCUUAUCGUUGGGUGAGACCCAAUAUAGAAAGUAAAACCUCUCUUAUCAUUGGGUGAGACCCAAUAUAGAAAGUAAAACCUCUCUUAUCGUUGGGUGAGACGCAAUAUAGAAAGUAAAACCUCUCUUAUCGUUGGGUGAGACGCAAUAUAGAAAGUAAAACCUCUCUUAUCGUUGGGUGAGACCCAAUAUAGAAAGUAAAACCUCUCUUAUCAUUGGGUGAGACCCAAUAUAGAAAGUAAAACCUCUCUUAUCGUUGGGUGAGACGCAAUAUAGAAAGUAAAACCUCUCUUAUCGUUGGGUGAGACGCAAUAUAGAAAGUAAAACCUCUCUUAUCGUUGGGUGAGACCCAAUAUAGAAAGUAAAACCUCUCUUAUCAUUGGGUGAGACCCAAUAUAGAAAGUAAAACCUCUCUUAUCGUUGGGUGAGAAAUGAAUUAGAGAGGUUCAUCCAGUGUGGAACUAACUAAGUGCGAACACUGUGAAUUUUAGUUAAAAAGAUUGAAGCGGGGCGGGGCCGGACCGUUGAGCUGAAAGGAAGCCAUCUCAUGCAGCUCUGGUCCUAAGCCAAAAAAAACACUGAUUUACUGCUCACAAACCGACCAGCUAACUUUCAAAAUACUAAAUGUGAUUAGAGAAACCGGCCAGCAUCACAAAGAAACCAGUCGGUGGCCGCAGACCCCAAAAAUGUGAGGAAUCUGCAAGCUCAGGCCUACAAGAUGGCAUGAACCCAUGGCCUGUUGCUGAGCUUGGAAACGCCGUGCACAUGUUCUGUGAACAAACACGAUAUGAAAGCACCUGUCUUUCCCAACGAGCAAGAGGAAGAACUGCGCUGCGGCCCCACACCCCCCCAGGACCCGGGGGGUUAUCCCGGUCACUUGCUCACUUGUUACUUGUUGCUCCUGACUUAAACUGCAAGUUCCAUGCAUAAGUUAAUGAUUACCAGCCUGCAAUUGCGGGACGCUGGAAGCAGCUCUACCCCCAUGUACCCAGCCACUGCAUAGGAGGCAACACUCACACUGUGACAACCCCUUACUUGCCUUCUCAAGGAGCGGACAAAACAACCCUUAACACACUCACCCAGGAGACUGCUCACAUAUCACUCUGGCACACCGGGAGGGUUGCCGAUGGGCAGUGACAUCAUGACUACCAGGCUGUCUCAGGUCGGACAGUGGCGACCUCAGAGACCCGGAGGAGGCUGAUCCCCGUUGCUGUGACCCCCCCUGGGCUGGUCUGUGGAGGGCUGCGGUGGACCAAUGGCCGUGGGGCCACAUGGACUAUGCCUAGGAGAAGUGGCCGGCGAUAGAUGUCUUACUCACUGAGACUCUAAUGGGACAGUGGAGGUGCAGAGGCCGUCUGGUUGGUGGACUCUAGGAGAGGGGGUCUCACGGACUUGGGGGUCCCUCGAGUGCCCGCUGUACAGAGAAGCUCUUGGUGGGGGGCUUUACCAGGAGUUGGAUGUUGAUGCAGAUGUUGGCACUAACGGGUGCCUGAUGUUGGUGCAUUGAGUGGGCCCUACAGAGGCUUCAUAAUACCCAUCACUAUUACAGGGGAACAGGGGCAGAGGGGAUGACAUGAGAUGCAUUCACAGGCAGGGAUAGCUCUCACCUAAGGCAGGCAGUUAUUUUUUUAUUGUAUUUCUUUACUCGCUUAUUUUUUCUCCUUUUAACUCAUAUAACCUGGCCGCACGUGUUUGGACCAAGAUCCCUGGGGUUCACAAGCGGACCUACCCAGGAAUCUUCACGUAGGGCCCUAUCCUACGAGCCCUUCCACACUCCCGGGGGCACCCUUCCCCUUUUUACUUUUCCCCUUCUCUAAUAAUUUAUUUUAUCGCACUAUAAUUAUCCAGAUCGCCAGGGGGAGAUAUACUUGUCACAAACCUAAUAUGUAGCCUGGGCUGCAGAACCAUGACCCCAACAGCAACUCUAAAUCCCACAUAUUUUCGUACCGAUUAUUAGCUAAAUCUAUAAGGUACGCGUCUAUAAUUUUGAUGUAAAUCCACUAACAUUAAUGCAGGUACCGGAAGCUACCACUGAUAAUACUACUAAUUAACCUAUUCCUUAUUAUUGAGUUCAAUGAGCACAACUUUAUAAAUGAAAAAUACAAGAAGAGGAAUGUAUCUAAUACAUGAUGCGAGAUAUAUGCAUCAAGAGAAGGGGUUCAAAAUAGCCAACAAAAGGCCUACUAUAUAGGCCAGACAGAACCACUAAAAUGAAGGAACAAAAAAUAAUAAAGAUUUAUUAAACACUACAAAAAUGUAACCCAAAUAUGUGCUACCAUAUAAACACCAAAAAGUUAAAAAUAUAAAUAUAGAUACAGGUCGUAUGAAAAUAAUAAAAACAAAAUAUAAUUGCAGAUCAAAAUAUAAGAAACUAUUACUAUCGGUAGUAGCUGGUAAUAAGUCAGGUUAGAAGAGCAGAAUGCCGAUCUAAUGGAUCAAUAAUCAAUCAAUACAAGGCUGACUAUGUCUGAUCUUCAUUUUUAUAAUAUAUGAUUUGGUGGCUCCCGGAAUGAUAUCAUGUUUAUAUCAUUGAUCAUUAAAUUGUACUGUUUACAUAAGAAUCUGUCCUAAUGAUGUAUUAUGGAAUCUAAUCGUUUCUGGGUCUUAUGGUUGCGUUUUGACCUCCACCCAUGGAGCUACUUCAGAAUAGACUCAAACGUAUUUAAUAACUGCAUAAACAAAUCUGUUUUUGUUACCAAACAUUUGUGUAGUAGUUUGGUUUAAAUGUUAUAUUUUUCGAUUUUGGAAAUCCCAAUUCUGUCACCAAAGGGUUAACUAUUUGCAGCCGCAUAGAUCAUUCUAUCUCUCCAAAUGCUUUCCGUCACGUCAUUUUAGGCAACCAAUGGGGAACUGCUUACCUGGACCAAUCAAACAACUUCUUUGGAAUUUUAAACCCGGUGCUCACGCACCUCCCGUUUCCUCUCUGACGAGCUAGGUGUAGCGAAACGCGCGCGUCAGAGGAUUGUGGUGUGCUGCGCUCCUUGGAUCCUUAGUGCAGCACACAGACUAGCGACCGCGCUGUUUUCAUUCUAUAUUUCUAUUCAAACAUAUAUAGUGUUUAUUCCUAUUUUUGCAGAUCUUAUUAAUUUUUAUAGCUCUAUCUUAACUAAUAGAUCUUUGGGGGGUUGGAGUUAGGUGCCCUUGAAGGCACGGGACACAUAUUUAUAUAGAGGGUGCUACCUUUUCUCAUAUCGUUAACUAUAUUUUUUUGUAUCAUUGGAUAUUCUUGGUAUAGGAUACUUUGUAGCACUGGUUAUUGCUACUUGAUUUUUACGUGUGUCUUUGUUCUACUCUCUCCCUCCUAGCUAUUCUCAUGUAUGCUUUACUGUCGGUACAGCGAUUAUUGGCUGCUGCCGUUCUAUAUAUACCCCUUAUAUCUAGUUAAUUAGUGGUAUCCUUCGAUUUAGAUUACCACUUUAACCACUUCAAUACUGGUUUGAAUAUCAGCUCAACGUUCAUUUAAUGAUCUCAUUUUUCUUUUACUGAUAUUUAUGACUUCUUUUCAGAUAUUUAAAGGACCUAUAUAGUCCAAUAGCAUUUUUUUGAUAUUUCAAGCAACAGACUUUAUAAUCUAUUGUUGAACCAUCAGGGUGUUUGAAUGUAUGGCACAUCAUUAGCCACUAUGGACAGGAACAGCUUUCUAGAUUAUGUCACACUCACUGGUUGAUAGGACCUAUAUUAAUCUACUAGCUUAAUUUUGGUCUCCAUAGUACCAGACCACACCACUGAUUAUUGAUCCAUUAGAUCGGCAUUCUGCUCUUCUAACCUGACUUAUUACCAGCUACUACCGAUAGUAAUAGUUUCUUAUAUUUUGAUCUGCAAUUAUAUUUUGUUUUUAUUAUUUUCAUACGACCUGUAUCUAUAUUUAUAUUUUUAACUUUUUGGUGUUUAUAUGGUAGCACAUAUUUGGGUUACAUUUUUGUAGUGUUUAAUAAAUCUUUAUUAUUUUUUGUUCCUUCAUUUUAGUGGUUCUGUCUGGCCUAUAUAGUAGGCGUUUUGUUGGCUAUUUUGAACCCCUUCUCUUGAUGCAUAUAUCUCGCAUCAUGUAUUAGAUACAUUCCUCUUCUUGUAUUUUUCAUUUUCUAUUAGGGGUUACCCCCCCACUUCUAUUGUGUAUCUAAUCUGGCUCUACUCACUUACUGAACUUUAUAAAUGUGUCCAUUCAUUAUAUAAUAUGCUUCUGCAAUGUUACCGUAUGUUACCGUAUGUUAUAUCUUAUUGCAAUACACUCACACUCCUAACUACAAACGCCUACAAAUAGAUGCGAUCCCUGUAGAAUACUCUUGUGAUGCCUUGGCUUUAAGUUCUGAAAUUGCAAUAUGGCUACCGUGACUACCUGUACUACACUGUAAUAAUGCACCAAUGCUGUACACCAGCUUAUACUGUCACAUGGCCGCAUUUCCUACUGUCACUGUAUGCAAGAUGAUUUAAAUACAAUAUGCCUUUUGAAAUAAAAAAUAAGUAAAUAAAAAAAGAUUGAAGAGAUUGAGGUUCAGGAGAGGAAAAGACUUGUUAGAAAAUAGUGGUGAUAAUUUUAUGAUUUCUGUGAUUGAUAACUAAAUGUCUGAAAAUACAUUUUUUAUAUUUUUAAUGCCACUAUAAAGUAAAUAAACAAAUGUUCUCUAUUGAUGAUCACAAUAAAAAUCUUUGCCGCUAAUUUGAGAACUCUAUGGGUUUCCCAGACGCAUUAUACGCAGCAUUUACUGCAGUGUUUGUAUUGGCAAUUAAUGGAUUUUACAGGAAGUAACACAGGCCGGCACGGUAACGGUGCUUCACAUUCACUCUCAGGCAGCGCUAGGCGAAACGGACUUGCGUUGUCAUGACAACACAGCAGUUUGUAUGCAGUGCCCCCAUAGAUACCAGACAGGAAGCAGCCUUUAUUAGCCGGAGAUUGAUUAAUAAACUCGGGCUGAGCUGGGUGCCUAGAUACAUCACAGAAACCUAUAACAAUACAUAAAACGUGGGGUUUCAUUUUGGUGUGAUGCUCAGGAAAUGUUGCAGUAACUGAUUUACUUCCGGGCUUUGGGAUGUAGUAUACGUAUCUGAUUAACAGCAUUCACAGUGCCUCCUAUUACAUUAACUCCAAAGCUAAUUAAAAUAAACCAAAUUCUUCCCGACUCCAUAACAGAACAGGAGAUAAGACAUUGUGCUGUUUACAACACUGCUCUGUAGAAAAUGAGCCUUUUAUCAUGGAGGCUGUGUGAUUGACAGCCAGGGGAGGUGUGGCUAUGGCUGCAUAAACAAAGUGAUUUAACUCCUAAACAGCAGAGAAUUGAGCUGUGAAACCAUAGGAACAUGACCUAUACACCAAAACCACACCAUUAACUUAAUGUUGUUUUGGUGCUUACAUUGUCCCUUUAAUGGUGCUAUGAGGGACAUUCAAAUUUUAGGAUAUUUUGUAUAAACCAAACUUGCUUCUUCUGAACUUCGUUACAUGUUUGCUUUGAUAUCGCUAAGAUCUCCAUGCGCUGUUCGAUUGGAUGUCCUCUCUAGCAAGCUCUGGGGACUUCCAGGAAUAAAUUUAUGUAAUUUCAGAGCAUAUGACUCAGACCAACUGAUUAUGUGACUUUUUUAAAAAGCACUUGGUUGCAAAAAUAGCAAUAGUUUAUAAAAAAAAAAAUAGUAUAAGUCGAACAGUUAAAUCCUCUGAAAUACAUCUUAAAUAGCGGUUAUAGCCAUAAAGGUUAAGGAACUGUCCAAAGGUGAUGGAUAUCAAUGGGAGGCACUGUAAAUCAUAUGAUAUGAAAUUAUUAAAAUUAAUACUUGUUUAAUUUACACUUACUGCCCGUUUAGUUUGCUAAACAGAUUGUUUUACAGCAAAUUGAAUUGGGAUUGGAAAUGGGAUUAACUAAUGAAAAUAUGAAAUAUGUAGUUCUGAUAUUGUAAUAGUGAAAUGAUAUGUGCAUAAUGAAUGUGUUGUAAUUAAUAAAUGAAAGAUUUAUAUACAAUAAGAUUGUAUAUUUUUAUCUCUCCCCAGGCUAUCAGUAUCACCAAACCCGUCCUGGGCCCCUGUACAUCCCAGAGGACAGAUGUCUUGUUCAUUAUAUGGGAGACCACUUGGGUAAGCCCCCAUUUAUACUAGAGUUUUACAUGGGGAAAAAGAAUUAUAUAUGUAUUAGUUCAGUUACUCCGAAAUUUGUUCCCAUGGUGUUUUGGCUUAGAAUAAUUUCAUUCACCCAAAUGAUUUGUGAAAGUAAUUUGGACAAAUCAAAAUGGCACAAAAAUGGGCCAAUCAACAUACUGCAAAAUCUAAAUAUUAU
rnacentral:lncRNA from 1 species